AGGGUAAUAGUUCAGUGGUAGAACACAUGUUUGCAUGCACAAGGUCCUGGGUUCAAUUCCCAGUAUCUCUA
rnacentral:tRNA from 1 species